GGCGGAGUAAGGCGUGCCGCUGCAAACUGGCCUCUGGGCCGGGGGCGAGCAGCCCCCGGGAGGCCGAGUGCAUCUGUUGGACCGUGCGAGGAGAAGAAAAAAAAUAUCGGCCAGAGGAGAGGAACUAACCGAACAUUCUUCCUCCCUACCUUAUAGAGGGGAGUGGUCAUCUACACUAAAGCAAAGUGUUAGGCGCGUCCGUGCGAAGAGACCACCAAACAGGCUUUGUGUUCCUUAUCACAGGAAGAAAAUUUUCCUUGACCUUUAGGUGCUUUUAUAUUCAUCUCAAAAACAAAAUUCUGAACUCAGGACUUGGCAAGUAAGUAAUUGUGGGCUAAUCGUUCCAAAUACUGUUUAAGUAGCUUGAAAACAGGUACAUAGAAGUGGAACAAUAAGCCGUUAGCUUCAGCAGAAGACGAACAUGAAAAAUGACUGUAAGCUAUUGAAAUUUAAGUUAAAUCUUUUAUUUUUCAACAAAAGAAAUGUAUUAAAUAAAAAGGAGUAAUCUUGAUCAUUUGCUCAAACUACCAAUAAUUUUCACUGUCUAAAGAAAACAGACACAUAUUUAAUUAGAUUGAAGGAAAUCAAAUGAUUAAAAAAUAGGCCUGGCCCGGUGGCUCACGCCUGUAAUCCCAGCAGUUUGGGAGGCCGAGGCUGGUCUCAAACUCUUGACUUAAUCCCAAAGUGCUGGGAUUACAGGCAUAUGCCACUGCGCCUGGCCAAGAUCUCAUUCUUUUUUAGGGCUGAGUAACAUAUGCCAUCAUAUAUAUGCACU
rnacentral:lncRNA from 1 species